GCAAUGCGGUUGACCUCCAAUCCUCACCAAAGUUAUACCAUAGAAUCCCGUUUGUCCCCUCAUGCAAAAUCCACCACCCGUUUCUUUCAAAUCAUCAUAGAACCCUUCAAAUCUGAGAUGGAAGUUUGGACCCUCAAACCCUAACCUACCCAAAUUCAUAUCAGGUGAUCCCCACACCUAUUUCCCGAAAAUCAAAACAAAAUUUCUUGGCAGUUUGGUAUUUUCCCCUAAUUUCUUACGAUUUCAUGCAUUUUAGUAUUUCUGUUUUUAUUUUUUAUUUGUUUCUUUGUUUUGUUUUGUUUUAUUAGUAGUCAAAUUCAUCUUAAGUUAGUGUUAAAAUAAGUUUUUAAUCAUAAAAUUUGAGUUAUUUGAUUUUUUUUCUUUUUUUUGGAUUUGAUUCUUUUUCUGUGUUCUUAUUUCUUCAUUUAUGAUUACUCGAGUUCAUAUAUUAACUAUGAUCAUAACUGACCUAGUGAAGGGACCUAUUCAUUUGGAUCUUGUGUUAAUUUGACCCAGGUUAGUAAUUGGAAAGUAAAUACAAGGGUGUUAUAGGUUAUUUUGGUCAUCUAACUAAAAGAAAUCUAGCCUAACUAAUUAGGAAGUUGCUAGGAAAGUGGGAAUUGGGGCUGACUUAGAAAACAGGCUAGAAAAUCAGGCUCUAAGUAGAAAAAUGAUAGAGUCAUUUCUGCUGCCCUAAAGGCUCUCUAUAAGAAGCAUAUUUAUUUCUUUGUGAAUGAGCUUUUAGAUAUUUUAGAAUACUAACAAAACACACAAGUUUGAGCUCUUGAUAUUUUAAAAUACUGAAAAUCUCCCGCAUUUUGGGUAAAAAUUGGCUUUGGUUCUGCUUUUAAUCUUCAUAGCUUGAAACAUUCAAGAAUUUUUGGUUCAUUUUGGGUCCAAAAAUGGUUUAGAAGAACUAAGCAUUGUUGUAGUUUGGCCGUGCUAGUCUUGCUGAUAUAUUGCUGCUAUUUCUUCCUAACUUUAGGCCUGUUUUAUGUGUUGUUUUUGCUGUAACCAGGUACCUCUUUGACUUUAUUAAUAUAUGAAGCUUGAGUCUGAAGCAUUGUUGAAGAUGUAAACUCUGGUUGGCUGAAAAUCCAUUUGUGUUGCUGAAAACUUGUCCUAGUUCUAUAUUAAUUUAUGUUUUAUCACAUUAUUCAUUGUAUUUACUCAUGCCAUGAAUUUUACAAUUUGUAUUGGGGUUAUAUUUAGACUUUAGGUUUGUCGUUUUGGUUUCAGUUUGGGUUGAAUUCUUCUGUCAUAUGUUUGGUGUUGGACGGUUACAAGAUAGUUUUAAGUGAGAUGAAGAACUCUCGUUGUUAGGUUUUGAUCAAGUUUGCUUAAGCUGGUAGUGAUUUAUAAGUCUACAGUUAAUUAUUUCCGUGGUUUUGACUGUUUUUGGUGUUCGUUUGGUAUUUAAACAAAUUCAGUAACAUGAUGAUGUAUUUUGAUAUUCAGUUUAAAUGUUUUAGAGUACUUUACUGUUAGGACCACUAUGUGUACAAAUUUAGUACAAUGUGGUGCUUUUGGGGAUUUUUGCUUGAAUUGCUAAAAUGAUAUGUAUGGGUUUGAGUAAGAACUUUCAGUUGGAGUCCAUGUUAGCAAAUGUAUUCUUUUAUUUGGAACCAUGUUAGUGUUUAGUUAGGAGUCAUGAAUUCUAUUGGAUUUUAAAGAAUAAGGUAAUUGUGUAUGGGUUAUUACAACUUUAAGAUUAAAUCUUCAUUAUAGAAUGUGAUUUGGCAAUAAAAUAC
rnacentral:lncRNA from 1 species